GGAGAUUUAGCUCAGUGGUAGAGCGCUUGCCUAGCAAGCACAAGGCCCUGGGUUGGAUCCCCAGCUCCG
rnacentral:tRNA from 1 species